AGCUAAUAUUAUGAUUUUACAUAUAAUAUAUUAUUCAUACAUUCGCCAUAUCCGUGUAUUGUUGUUUGUUUUAUCCUCUUAUGAGUUGUAUUUAAUAUGAAACCUGGGCAAAAUUUUACCGAAUGUCUACGUGUGUGUAAUAUGACCAUUCAGAAAAAAAUUAUAAAAGCUAUAAAGGGGCAGCGAAGUAAACAUAAUAUGAUUUAAUCUAUAUAUUAUGAUAAUAA